rnacentral:rRNA from 1 species
GACGAACGCUGGCGGCGUGCUUAACACAUGCAAGUCGAACGGAAAGGCCCUGCUUGCAGGGUACUCGAGUGGCGAACGGGUGAGUAACACGUGGGUGAUCUGCCCUGCACUUCGGGAUAAGCCUGGGAAACUGGGUCUAAUACCGGAUAGGAGCCAUUUUUAGUGUGAUGGUUGGAAAGUUUUUUCGGUGUAGGAUGAGCUCGCGGCCUAUCAGCUUGUUGGUGGGGUAAUGGCCUACCAAGGCGGCGACGGGUAGCCGGCCUGAGAGGGUGGACGGCCACAUUGGGACUGAGAUACGGCCCAGACUCCUACGGGAGGCAGCAGUGGGGAAUAUUGCACAAUGGGCGCAAGCCUGAUGCAGCGACGCCGCGUGGGGGAUGACGGCCUUCGGGUUGUAAACUCCUUUCGCUAGGGACGAAGCUUUUUGUGACGGUACCUAGUUAAGAAGCACCGGCUAACUACGUG